UACGUUGUAGUCUAGUUGGUUAGGAUACUUGGCUCCCCCCAGAGAUUCCUGGGUUCAAGUCCCGGCAAUGGAA
rnacentral:tRNA from 1 species